rnacentral:lncRNA from 10 species
CUGUUAUCUCCUUCCUUUCCCCUGAUGUACCCACAAGCUUCAUCUCCUGCUGGUGCAGGACUAGUGAUACUGUUCUGUCUUGCAGUGGAGUUGGGGAAGACUAUAAUCUGCCCAUGGAAAUACAAGGGAGGAAAAUAGUCUAAGAUAAAAUCUUCCCCACCUACAGCACUGUCCCUUUUCCCCUGCAGUCUGCAGUCGCAAACACAUACACUGGGCUCCAACCAUUUGCUGUCCCUCUAGAAACUUCUCACAAUUAUCACAUUAGAUUCUCAGAUCCAUCAGUUGCACCAUUUCUGAGACACUCCCAGAACUAGGUUGACAGAGAUAGCCAGGAGCCCCUGUUGGGUCCCCAUUGUGUCAGUAUCCAGAAGCCAGAAUGACACUUCUAAAAUAGUUAUAAUCAUGAGAAUGUUUUAAUCAAGGGCCUUUAAAGCCCUCAUGUAAGCCCUUUAAUAUCACAUUCAAAGGUCUUAACAAGCUGGCCUCACUUCCUUUUCUACUUCCCAUAACACACCCUACACUCCAACUACCCUGGGUGAUGUUUUCCCCAAAAAAUGCUGUGCACUUUAACCCUCUGUUUACCAUACGUUUACCUCUGUAUGGAAUUCUCUCUCCCCUUUCUCACAUUGAGAAAUGCUACUCAUUCUUCAAAGCUCGGAACAAAAGUUGUCUUCAAGAAGUUUUCUCUAGUUCAUGCCAUUGGUGUAAAUCAUUCCUUCUUCAAUACUCCCUGGAGCACUUAUCUGUCAGAUUUGCCUUAUAGUUUGUUGCCAGCAGAGCAAAAACUGUGUUUUAUCCAUAUUUCUAUCUCUAGUUCAGUUUUUCACGCACAGUAGAUGCCCAAUAAAUGUUUAUUCAUCAGGUUAAAUAAUGAAGACCACGAUUUGUAGGAAAGAUAAGUUUUUAGUAAGAAUGAAGUAAUCCUUUUCUUGGCUAAUCUCAGUUCCAGUAAGAUUGAGUGUGAAUUUCCAGAAGUGGUGUUAUCUUCAGCAAUUCUCAGCACCAUGCAAAUAGGAAUGAAAACAUAUACUGUAGGCCGGGUGGGGUGGCUCAUGCCUGUAAUCCCAGCACUUUGGGAGGCCAAGAUGGGUGGAUCACUUGAGGUCAGGAGUUUGAGACCAACCUGGCCAACAUGGUAAUGGUGUAAGCCCCAGACUGCCGAGGAUGGGCAGGAUUUUAUAGUUUGGAACUUACCAAGCACCAUCUAUUUUCUAAACUAAUUUUGAGUUGAUGUGGAAUUCUAUGUUUUAGGAAGGCAAUUUAAAGGGCACAGAAUAAGCUAAAAAGAACAUAA